GACGAACGCUGGCGGCGUGCCUAAUACAUGCAAGUAGAACGCAGUUGCGAACGGGUGAGUAACGCGUAGGUAACUGCCUGGUAGCGGGGGCUAACUAGUGGAAACGAUAGCUAAUACCGCUUACUACCAGAUGGACCUGCGUUGUAUUAGCUAGUUGGUGGGGUAACGGCUCACCAAGGCAACGAUACAUAGCCGACCUGAGAGGGGUAUCGGCCACACGGGGACUGAGACAAGGCCCAGACUCCUACGGGAGGCAGCAGUAGGGAAUCGUCGGCCAUGGAAGGAAGUCUGACCGAGCAACGCCGCGUGGAUGAAGAAGGUUUUCGGAUCGUAAAGCUCUGUUGUAAGGGAAGCGGUAUCUUACCAGAAAGGGACGGCUAACUACGUGCCAGCAGCCGCGGUAAUAC
rnacentral:rRNA from 1 species